rnacentral:tRNA from 1 species
GGAGAGGUGACCGAGUUGGCCGAAGGUGCACGACUGGAAAUCGUGUGUACGUCAAAAGCGUACCAGGGGUUCGAAUCCCCUCCUCUCCGCCA